AUCCCGGUAGUAUAGUGGUCAGUAUCCCCGCCUGUCACGCGGGAGACCGGGUUCGAUUCUGGGGGA
rnacentral:tRNA from 1 species